UACGAAGGGGGCUAGCGUUGCUCGGAAUUACUGGGCGUAAAGCGCGUGUAGGCGGCUUUGCAAGUCGGAUGUGAAAGCCCACGGCUCAACCGUGGAAGUGCAUCCGAAACUGCAUAGCUGGAGUCCCGGAGAGGAAGGUGGAAUGCUUGGUGUAGAGGUGAAAUUCGUAGAUAUCAAGCAGAACACCUGCGGCGAAGGCGGCCUUCUGGACGGUGACUGACGCUGAGACGCGAAAGCGUGGAGAGCAAACAGG
rnacentral:rRNA from 1 species